AACACCUCUGUAUUAUAAAAAAAACCGACCAUCACUACCUGCACCUAAAACACCAGCGGCAAUCUCCACCUCCGGUGAAGAAAGCAUCGCUAGCUAGUCGACAAAGCCAAAGCAAAAAAGAAAAGAAAAGAAAAGCCCUUUUGCAGUACCGGGUUUAGCUUAAAAGCUAAAAAGAGAGCAAAGAUGGCGACGAAAGGAAGCGGCUUGAAAUCGACGUCCAUAAAUGGAGUGAAGAUGUACAUGGUUUCUUCACAGCAACGUAAUCCUGCUCCGUGGGUUGGCUCCAAAAAGCAACGUCCUUCUCGCGAAGAUAAAAGAUUAUCAGCAAAAGAUAGAGUUGGUUCAGGAUGUAACGUUUCCAACCGCUAUGAGUAGAAUUAAAGCGACCCCAGAUGGAGAAUUUCUUAUUGCGUCGGGAAUAUACCCACCGCAAAUAAAAGUGUAUGAGUUAAGAGAGUUUGCAUUGAAGUUUGAAAGACACUUUGAUUCUGAGAUAAUUGAUUUUCAGGUUUUCUGAAGUUUUAACAUACUGUUUCUAUGAAACUAUUGUAAUUUGCUCCUGGUGGCAUUGGCAGCUGUCAUCAUCUUUACUUGAGAGGAUGAGUGUAGAGUUUUGCCAUGAUUUUUGAUGCACUACUGAGGCAAUGAUUUGUUUUCUGUUUGUGUAGAUAUUGGAUGAUGACUAUUCAAAGCUUGCAUUUUUAUGUGCUGAUCGUUCUGUUUGCCUACACGCCAAAUAUGGAAAACACUACACUUAGCGAAUUCCAAGGUUUAUAUUGAUGAUUUAUCAGUAUUUAUGCUUUUGUUUCAUAUUGUGAUUUGUUUUUUGUUUCGUGCAUUGCUACAUACAGCUAACCAUUUCCUUGACAUGCUAAUGUUAUUAUGCUUCUUGACUUCUCUGUCAGGUGGAUUUUAUGUUGUAUUAAAGGGAACAAAGGUAACACAUGUAAGGCCCUCCUAGUUAAUGGAUGGUCCAAUAUAGUGCCUAGAGGUAGAGGGGAUAUAGAGGUCAUAAAGCAAGUAGUUAAUUUAGCCUUUACUGGCAUUUAUUAUCAUUUUUGUAUUGCUUAGUUGAUUUAUAUGAACAUAAUGAGAAGUGUGGUACAAACUUAUCGUAGUUGCUGACAUCAUAAUAAGGUUUUUUGUCUGAUAUGAAACUGAAAGAGGAAAGAAUUUUCUAAGCGCUGCCAAUAUGAGAUAAUGUUGAAGAAUUUGAAAUGCAUUAAAGCUUGUUGAGAACUUGGAAAGCUCAUUUUGAUGUAAGAAUGUAUUAACUUGAAAUGCUUUACUGAGACUAGAUCGAAGGUCAUGUGACUCUUGGGUAGUGCUUAAUGUUUUAGUGAAUAAGUUACUCAUGGCAUGAACAUGAGUGCCUUGGGAGAUCAUAGAGGGGAAAACAGGUUAAUAUCCAGCUAGGAUAGGGUUGAAUGAAACGUUUGACUGUUACUUCCAAACUUUUGGGAUUAAUUUUGUACCGUGCAUUGGUUGCAUCAUAUAACUUUAUGCUGGAGGAGUGCUUUAUUGCUUUUUGAUGAGAGGAUCUCACUCAAAAAUGAGAUACAAGAGGUUCGCUCUGUUGCAGAAAGCAAAAGAACAAAGUGAGGCAAAUAAGGAACAAGUUCAGUGUCAGUAUGAGUCCUCUGCAGUGCCUUAAGUCUCUUUUUCAAAUAAAAGAUGUAUCAAUAAUGAAAUGACAAGAAGUACAAUCACAUGAGGAGAAUAAGUCGACCAUCAAUCUAUUGGUGCAACGUAUUGCUAACUGAAAAGUGAAAACAGUGGAUAGUCAUCCUUAAGUCUCUCUUAGUAAUUCAUAUGCUUUUUCAGUGGGUUCUUUGAUAUGCCAGUUGAACAUUUAUUUCUGGAUCAUAAUGCCAGGUCUAGGAAAAUCACUUUGAUUCAGUUGAUGAUGGAUUAGGAACUCUGCUUAUCAGUUUGUUUUUUGACUGAUAUCCAGUUUCACUUUUUUCCUUGGGAUGGGUCACCUCUUUAUUCAGUGUCAUCUCUGCCCAAGGGAUUGGUUUCCCUGAUUAUGCAUCUCUUGAAUUGAAGAUAGCAAACUCUCUUAGCUAGACUUCUUUUCCCUUUAGAUAGCAAAUUCUCUUGGCAUUCUGGAACCGCAUAUCACUUGCAGAGGAGGAUUCUCCUCCUCUUGGAGAGAAAGCAGCAGCCCUUUGAGAUAACCUGCAGACCUCUGCCUGAAAUAACAUAAAGUUUGGACCACGAGGAUCUCGUGAAAUUUUAUUCUCUACACGAAGCUCAGCCCAUACAAAGAGGGUGGGGAUGACAGGACAAAGAAACACGGCGUGACAAGAGGAGUGGAAUCCAAUCAUUAGGGCUGAAGUCUGCUGGAUCAGGGUUUAGAGGCAAUAGAAGAGGAGGGAGUACUAGGGGGAGGGGUAGAAGAGGAGGCCGGCACUGAACAUCUUGUGUUCGGAUAAAAGUGAUGACUCACAUUCAGCUUUGGCUGUAUUGAUUUUGGAAGCUGCUUAUUGGUGAUCUGCAAACAACGAGCACAAUCACAAGAUGAGCUGGAAAAAUUUGUACAGUGAAAUUAUUCAAUGGAAUGCUUAGCUGUUGAGAUUUUGCUGUUGAUUUUUGUUUCCUCACCUCUAUAUAGAGAAAAAAAAAAUUCAUGGCCAUUUUUUCUCCCCUUCUGGAGGGGCAAUUUUGUUCGAGAGAGUUGCAACUUUUAACUGUACCAUAUAAACAAUACUUUUCUUUUCCUUACAGAAGAAAUCUGCCUUUACCCUCUUUCAGCGUGGCAAAGAUGAAAACCCAGAUUGUAAUCAGUGUAGGCGGUGACAGUCCUCGGAGAUGUUCCUGAUCAAAAUAUUUCUUUCCAUGUUAUCAAUUUUGGUUUUUGAAGAUUAUCAUUCAUUGUCGUGGGAUUGGAAGUUCUUUUGCCGAUAGGAUAGAUCUACUGAGCAUACCCUGUACAUGCAUCGAGGAGCUAAAACACAUUAAUUUCUUUGGUUCAAUCGAAGGCAUUGCCUUCCUGCCAUUGGAAAAAAAGUAUCUAGAAUUUACCUCUUUCGAGAUGUGUAUCAUGUCAAGUGAUUUUACAAGCUAGCUACAAUAUGAUUUUGUAUAUCUCUGGCCAUGUUUACAUGAAUCAUUGAAUCUCUAAAGAGCAGUCUGAUCCA